UGGCAGCAGACGGCUGUGUUCUGCGUCCGGGGCGAAGGCCAGGCGGGCGGUGGCUAGCCCUGAUGGCGCCGGGGUCGCACCGCGGCACCGUAGCCGCUUAGUGUCCGUCCAUCCGACCGAUUACCGGUGUCAAGUAUCACCGAGAUGUGUCAGACCCAGAUCCCCAGGGUUCUCCUGGGAUUCCUGGAGCCUCUGGGGACAGUCCUGUGGCAGAGGGGUCCAAGUUCCAGAAGGCUGUGAUCACAUCAGCCACAGGUAGAUGGACAUCCUACCUGGCUGUAGCCCUCAGAAUCAAGGUAGCUUAGGAAAGCACAAGACUGGGACACCAGGCCCAAGUCCUGCCAAUGCCUCUAUGGGCAGUCACAGCCCUUCCUAGAGCUCUGGUGGCUGCUUCUGCCUGCUUCUUGAAGGGGACAUGGAGAAGACAGAGCACUAUUCCCUC
rnacentral:lncRNA from 1 species